AAAGAAAUAAAUAAGAUACCAAAGAUCCUCAAUCGGGAGUGCCGAAAAGUCAAACGGUGGAGUUAUUUCGUAUCGAAUGCACUAAAUAGCGUGAGAAACCACGUCGAGCUUUUACUACUAUUGCCACUAUAUCUGGUCAUUUUGACCAAAAAGAAAAUGGAUCUUAUUGGUAUCUGACUCCUCCGCUCUUUCACUCUCGCUCACUU
ensembl:ncRNA F40B5.5 ncRNA